UGAAAGACCGUUCCCGUACGAUCACCGAAGUUAAGCAUCGUCGAGCCUGGUCAGUACCUAGAUGGGCGACAACUUGGAAAUAUCAGGUGCUGA